rnacentral:rRNA from 1 species
UACGAAGGGGGCUAGCGAUGCUCGGAAUGACUGGGCGUAAAGGGCGCGUAGGCGGACUGCACAGUCAGGCGUGAAAUUCCUGGGCUUAACCUGGGGACUGCGUCUGAGACGUGUGAUCUAGAGUGAGGAAGAGGGUCGUGGAAUUUCCAGUGUAGAGGUGAAAUUCGUAGAUAUUGGAAAGAACACCGGUGGCGAAGGCGGCGACCUGGUCCUUGACUGACGCUGAGGCGCGAAAGCGUGGGGAGCACACCGG